ACGAACGCUGGCGGCGUGCUUAACACAUGCAAGUCGAGCGAGGCCCCUCCUUCGGGAGGGUGUCCUAGCGGCGAACGGGUGAGUAACACGUGGGCAACCUGCCCUCAGCUCUGGGAUAACUCCGGGAAACCGGGGCUAAUACCGGAUACGACCUCCACGGGCAUCUGCGGAGGUGGAAAGUUUUUCGGCUGAGGAUGGGCCCGCGGCCUAUCAGCUAGUUGGUGGGGUAGUGGCCCACCAAGGCGACGACGGGUAGCCGGCCUGAGAGGGCGACCGGCCACACUGGGACUGAGACACGGCCCAGACUCCUACGGGAGGCAGCAGUGGGGAAUAUUGCGCAAUGGGCGAAAGCCUGACGCAGCGACGCCGCGUGAGGGACGAAGGCCUUCGGGUUGUAAACCUCUUUCAGCAGGGACGAAGCGAAAGUGACGGUACCUGCAGAAGAAGCACCGGCCAACUACGUG
rnacentral:rRNA from 1 species